rnacentral:lncRNA from 1 species
CACCUACAAAUUAACCAAAACAAUUGAUUAGUGUAAGGAUUUGCAAAGUAAAUUGAAGAAAAUCAAGACCAAAAUCUGAAAAUAAAAGGAAUGGUUUUCCCCUUUAUGAUUCGGCUCAGAAACUUGAUCCACACCACAAAGGUAUCUCCAAUUUGAAGGCCAUUAUCAAUCACACAGACAGAUUCACAAAGAAAAGGCAAGAGAAGAUUGGUUUGCACUAAGCAGGGAAGUUUUUCUUCCUCUUGGUUUUGGUUCUCGUUUUUGGUGUGUAUAAUGGAAGGGAAGAGUCUCCUAUUUAUAGGCUUAUAGGAGUGAAUGAAUUUCACAGGAGUCUUCAAGAUUAGAUUGAAUAAAAACUGC